CCACAGUGAUGAGCUUUAUACUUCAGGUCCGUGUUUUUGAACUACAUGAUAUUUAAAGAAGUUCUGAGUUG